rnacentral:rRNA from 1 species
CCUACGGGAGGCAGCAGUGGGGAAUUUUGGACAAUGGGCGAAAGCCUGAUCCAGCAAUGCCGCGUGCAGGAAGAAGGCCUUCGGGUUGUAAACUGCUUUUGUACGGAACGAAACGGUCUGCUUUAAUACAGUGGGCUAAUGACGGUACCGUAAGAAUAAGCACCGGCUAACUACGUGCCAGCAGCCGCGGUAAUACGUAGGGUGCGAGCGUUAAUCGGAAUUACUGGGCGUAAAGCGUGCGCAGGCGGUUAUAUAAGACAGUUGUGAAAUCCCCGGGCUCAACCUGGGAAUUGCAUCUGUGACUGUAUAGCUAGAGUACGGUAGAGGGGGAUGGAAUUCCGCGUGUGGCAGUGAAAUGCGUAGAUAUGCGGAGGAACACCGAUGGCGAAGGCAAUCCCCUGGACCUGUACUGACGCUCAUGCACGAAAGCGUGGGGAGCAAACAGGAUUAGAUACCCUGGUAGUCCACGCCCUAAACGAUGUCAACUGGUUGUUGGGUGCAUUAGUACUCAGUAACGAAGCUAACGCGUGAAGUUGACCGCCUGGGGAGUCGGCCGCAAGGUUGAAACUCAAAGGAUUGACGGCNGAGAGNGCGACGACGACGACGAGGGAGGAGG